rnacentral:rRNA from 1 species
UACGGAGGGUGCAAGCGUUAUCCGGAUUCACUGGGUUUAAAGGGUGCGUAGGAGGGCAGGUAAGUCAGUGGUGAAAUCUCCAAGCUUAACUUGGAAACUGCCGUUGAUACUAUCUGUCUUGAAUACCGUGGAGAUGAGCGGAAUAUGUCAUGUAGCGGUGAAAUGCUUAGAUAUGACAUAGGACACCAAAUGCGAAGGCAGCUCGUUACACGAAUAUUGACUCUGAGGCACGAAAGCGUGGGGAUCAAACAGG